rnacentral:rRNA from 1 species
GAUGAACGCUGGCGGCGUGCCUAAUACAUGCAAGUCGAGCGAACGGACGAGAAGCUUGCUUCUCUGAUGUUAGCGGCGGACGGGUGAGUAACACGUGGAUAACCUACCUAUAAGACUGGGAUAACUUCGGGAAACCGUAGCUAAUACCGGAUAAUAUUUUGAACCGCAUGGUUCAAAAGUGAAAGACGGUCUUGCUUUCACUUAUAGAUGGAGCCGCGCUGCAUUAGCUAGUUGGUAAGGUAACGGCUUACCAAGGCAACGAUGCAUAGCCGACCUGAGAGGGUGAUCGGCCACACUGGAACUGAGACACGGUCCAGACUCCUACGGGAGGCAGCAGUAGGGAAUCUUCCGCAAUGGGCGAAAGCCUGACGGAGCAACGCCGCGUGAGUGAUGAAGGUCUUCGGAUCGUAAAACUCUGUUAUUAGGGAAGAACAUAUGUGUAAGUAACUGUGCACAUCUUGACGGUACCUAAUCAGAAAGCCACGGCUAACUACGUG